rnacentral:rRNA from 1 species
UUUAACUUAGAACUGCCGUUGAUACUGCUAGUCUUGAGUAUAGUUGAGGUAGCUGGAAUGAGUAGUGUAGCGGUGAAAUGCAUAGAUAUUACUCAGAACACCGAUUGCGAAGGCAGGUUACCAAGUUAUAACUGACGCUGAGGGACGAAAGCGUGGGGAGCGAACAGGAUUAGAUACCUGGUAGUCCACGCCGUAAACGAUGCUAACUCGUUUUUGGGCUUUAGGGUUCAGAGACUAAGCGAAAGUGAUAAGUUAGCCACCUGGGGAGUACGACCGCAAGGUUGAAACUCAAAGGAAUUGACGGGGGCCCGCACAAGCGGUGGAUCAUGUGGUUUAAUUCGAUGAUACGCGAGGAACCUUACCAAGGCUUAAAUGGGAAUUGACAGCUGUAGAAAUACGGUUUUCUUCGGACAAUUUUCAAGGUGCUGCAUGGUUGUCGUCAGCUCGUGCCGUGAGGUGUUAGGUUAAGUCCUGCAACGAGCGCAACCCCUGUCACUAGUUGCCAUCAUUAAGUUGGGGACUCUAGUGAGACCGCCUACGCAAGUAGAGAGGAAGGUGGGGAUGACGUCAAAUCAUCACGGCCCUUACGCCUUGGGCCACACACGUGAUACAAUGGCCGUACAGA